rnacentral:rRNA from 1 species
CCUACGGGAGGCAGCAGUGAGGAAUCUUUGUCAAUGGGCGCGAGCCUGACCCAGCCACGUCGCGUGAAGGAUGACUGCCCUCCGGUUUGUAAACUUCUUUUUUAAGGGAAUAAAGUGAGGCACGUAUGCCUUUUUGUAUGUACUUUAUCAAUCCGGAUCGGCUAACUCCGUGCCAGCAGCGGCGGUAAUACGGCGGAUCCGAGCGUUAUCCGGAUUUAUUGGGUUUAACGGGAGUGUAGAUGGGUUGUUAAGUCAGUUGUGAAAGUUUACGGCUCAACCGUGGAAUUGCAAUUGAUACUGGCAGUCUUGAGUGCAGGAGAGGAAGGCGGAAUUCGUGGUGUAGCGGUGAAAUGCGUAGAUAUAACGAAGAACACCGAUGGCGAAGGCAGCUUACUAAACUGUCACUGACAUUGAUGCGCGAAAGCGUGGGUAUCAAACAGGAUUAGAUACCCGAGUAGUC